rnacentral:rRNA from 1 species
GACGAACCGUCCGAACGUUAUUCGGAAUCACUGGGCUUACAGAAGUUCGUAGGCGGUCUUGGAAAGUUGGGUGUGAAAUCCCUUGGCCUAAACCAAGGAACUGCGCUUGAAACUACCAGACUCGGAGGGAGAUAGAGGAAAGGCGGAACUGAUGGUGGAGCGGUGAAAUGACGUUGAUAUCAUCAGGAACACCGGUGGCGAAGGCGGCUUACUGGGUCUCUUCGUGACGCUGAGGAA